ensembl:lncRNA PURPL p53 upregulated regulator of p53 levels
GCAAAGGGGAGGAGCCUGCCCUCUUGAGCUCUUGUGGUGACCUGGGAAUCAAUGUGUGAGGUGGUGCUAUGUAGCAGGAACCCCUCUUGCUUUGCAAAUAGUUUUUUGUUUGUUUUCCUUUUUGCCCAAUAGAGCCCUGCUCUACUGACCCUUCAAUGUGCCCGUGUGCCUAAAUAUUCCUGGUCGUGUGAAAAGAACCCAGGUAUUAGCUGAACUAAGGAGCACAAUUCUGCAACAUUUUGGCACCCAAACACGGGGCUUGAGAAAUGAAUGCAAUUGGAGAAACUGGUUGUUUUACCAGGCGUUGAUUGGAAAUGUGUGCUUCCCUUUAAGCAGUCAAGCUCAACUUGCAGAACUGAUGGGAACCCCUUGGGAAAACUGGCCUCAAAUGUUUGUCUACACAGUCCACAUACAGGGUUCUUAACCUGCGGUGAGUAAAGAAUGUCACUUUCCAACAGGCCCAGAUAUCAUAUGCUCUUGGGACCUCAAGAAGAGAGGAGUUUACCCAAUUCAUAGGUGUGUGAGGAUAAAAACCUAGGGCUGGGCUCAGCUUUAAAUGGUCUUAUCUGAGAUUCUUUGUGAAACAGAUUUUCAUGAAAGCCAAUCUAGAGGGCCUACGUAGAAAUAAUUGUUUUUGCUGCACUUUAUGCACAUAAUCAAGCCAAUUAUAAGACUAAAGUCUAUAUUGCAAGCAACACACUCCUAUUAUGAUUUGUUUUUAACAGAAAUGAGGACGAGACAGAGAGAAAUUAUGUUUCAAAACUUAUCAUCAUUAGUUUCUAGACUUAUUAUUUCUUUUUAAGUUUUUACCUACAUUUUAGACUGACCCUGCUUGUGCCUGUGAACCAACCAACAAUCUCUGGCUGCAGCUCAGAAAGGACAAAAGAGAAUGGGUAAUGUAAAAACCUGGAUCAGUAUUUUAGUUCUGAACAAUUAUCCUGCAAAUCCUGCCAGCUGAUGGGAAUAAAUAGGAUGCCCAUGAUCCGGAGGUUUACUUUUUGGGAAAGUAAAACCAAGGGAGCUAACCAAAGUAAAACCCCAUACACCCAAAUCUGAGCAAGCAUAACUAUAGCCACCAGUUAUCUGGGUGUGUCACAAGACACUCUUUUCUUUCCUUUGUUGGAGGAGAACUCAUUUCCACAGCUUCACUUUAGCAUUAUGGCUUAUGUUAAGGAGUCUAUGCAACUUCCAUGCUGAGACACGUUUUUGGUCCCAAAGUUAAUUCCAAGCUUUGUGUCAAAGGCCUAAGAAAACUGGAUCUUAGGGAUCCAGAAGCCAGACAAUAAUGAAAGUCAAAAGGCACAGCACAGGUGAGCAUGACUAAUUCCCGCUGAUUAAGCCAAGCUUCCUGUUUCAUGGAUAAAGGUCAUGCUAGUAUCCAUGGCAUAAAUGAGGUCUAGAGAACUAAAAGGCUACUGCCAGCAGGGGAGAUAGGGAGGACAUAAGACAGGGCAGCUAUUCCCAUCCCCUAGACCCCCUGUUAACAUGGAUGAAAGCCACUUUGACACCCAUGGGUGGCACCCUGUCACAGUUGGUGGGACUCAGCAAUACAGGGACAGAGGAAAGAAAGAGGAACAACUCACUUUCUCUCCCUCACACACCCUGAGUAUUUGCUAGAAAAAGAAAGGAACCAGGCACACAUGCUCCCCUAUUUCUAGAUGAGUAGCCAUUCAUCUUUAGUCUGCACCCUUUUAGAACAUGUCCUGAACCCCUGGGACUCUUCUGAAAAAAAUGCCUUCUUUUUUCCUUUUUCUUCCUCUGUCCUCUAUUCACUGGUAGGUAGGUAAUGGUGUCCCAUACCACAGAACACUUCCCUCAGAUGCAUCCUUCUAACUGGGAGGAGUUAAUUUCUCAAACCGUAGACUAAUUGGCUUAGGAUUAGGUUCAGGGGAAGGGAACACAGAAACAUGACAUGCCAGCAAAAGGGUAAAAGGUUUUUUUUCCCCGUUGGGCUUUUGGCCUCUCUCUCCCUGUGCAAACUGGUAAAAGGCGUCUGGAUUUUCUAGUUGUCCUUACCCACUGCUUGUUUCGUUUUGAUACAUAUUUUCUAAUAACCUGUUUGUCUCUUCUCACUUUUAGGCCAUCAAACUCCAGUCUGCACCUGGAGCCUUGGAUGAUGGCCUUUUUUACUGGGAACCCUGAAAUAGGCCUCUGAGGGAAAUCUGAUUGCCAUUUUCCCAAAACAGCUUCCCUGACAAUAGGAAGCAAUUAAGAUUGGUCUUCAUCCUUAUCUUUAUCCUUAUUCUAAUGGCAGUUAGAGGUACUUCUUUAGAGGGGGGAAUGAGACAGCCAAAUGCCUAGGCAGAUAAAAAGGUGUACCUGGAAAAUUUCCAACCCGUCACACAAGUGUUUACAUCAGAUGCUUUUGUGUAGAUGAGGGAAACUUCCCAGGGCUUGUCUGGGUAUGCCCACAGUGGACUGGAGCCCAAAAUGCACACUGGAGGAAGUGGAUGGAGCCACGUGGAUGUCAUGCCUUAUGCAGGGGAGGAGCCUGCUCUCUUCAGCUCCUGUGGUAAUGUGGGAAUCGAUCUGUGAGGUGAGGACCUGUUAGCAGGAACCCCUCUUGCUUUGCUGAAAGUUUUAUUUUUCUUUUUGCCCUAUAAAACCCUGUUCUACUAACCCUUCAAUAUGUCUGCAUUCCUAAAUUUUCCUGGUCAUGUGACGAGAACCUAGGUUUUAGCUGAACUAAGGAGCAAAAUUCUGCAACAUAAAGUCAAAGAAAACUAUGCCUAUAUCCAUUAAAUCAAAUGUUAAAAAGCAAAUAUAAAGAAAAAGUCUUCACAGCCCUAGAGAAAAGUGAAACAUUGUACAUAAAGAAGUAAUAAUUUGAAUGGAUUGUCAGAAACCAUGACUAGAAGACAGAGGAGCAAUAUUUUCAAAUUUCAUAGAGAAAGGAAAAAAAGAAAAGAAGAAAAAAAAGAAGACAUAAUAAAACACCUGUCAUUUUAGUAUUCUGUACCCAUUGAACAUAACCUUCAAUAGAAUGUGAAGUAGACAUAUUCAGGUGAAUAAAAAAUCAAGAGAAUAAUAGUUAUGUUCUACAUGAAAUUAUAAAGGAAAUUUCUCAGACUAGGUGGAAAUUAUACUAGUGAGAAACAGAUUUGAAGGACUAAAGGAAGAGAUGAUAGACUGACAAAGUCAAUUUUUAAAAGCCAGAUCUAACUUCUUAUUGGCUACAAGGAAUCCACUUUUAAUAUACAAAAAUAGGUAAUAAUUAAAUUGCUAGAAAAUACAUUUCAAAUAAAGAAUCAGCACAUGUAGCUUGGAGAAGAUAUAUUAACAUAAAAAGGACUUCAAUAAAAGGAGUAUUAUGAGAAGACAUUUAUGCAGCCAAAAAACACAUGAAAAAAUGCUCACCAUCACUGGCCAUCAGAGAAAUGCAAAUCAAAACCACAAUGAGAUACCAUCUCACACCAGUUAGAAUGGCAAUCAUUAAAAAGUCAGGAAACAACAGGUGCUGGAGAGGAUGUGGAGAAAUAGGAACACUUUUACACUGUUGGUGGGACUGUAAACUAGUUCAACCAUUGUGGAAGUCAGUGUGGUGAUUCCUCAGGGAUCUAGAACUGGAAAUACCAUUUGACCCAGCCAUCCCAUUACUGGGUGUAUACCCAAAGGACUAUAAAUCAUGCUUCUAUAAAGACACAUGCACAGGUAUGUUUAUUGCGGCACUAUUCACAAUAGCAAAGACCUGGAACCAACCCAAAUGUCCAACAAUGAUAGACUGGAUUAAGAAAAUGUGGCACAUAUACACCAUGGAAUACUAUGCAGCCAUAAAAAAUGAUGAGUUCAUGUCCUUUGUAGGGACAUGGAUGAAAUUGGAAAUCAUCAUUCUCAGUAAACUAUCACAAGGACAAAAAACCAAACACCACAUAUUCUCACUCAUAGGUGGGAAUUGAACAAUGAGAUCACAUGGACACGGGAAAGGGAACAUCACACUCUGGGGACUGUUGUGGGGUGGGGGGAGAGGGGAGGGAUAGCAUUAGGAGAUAUACCUAAUGCUAAAUGAUGAGUUAAUGAGUGCAGCACACCAGCAUGGCACAUGUAUACAUAUGUAACUAACCUUUACGUUGUGCACAUGUACCCUAAAACUUAAAGUAUAAUAAUAAUAAAAUAAAAUAAAAUAAAAAUUUAUCAGAAAAACAAUAUCAAUUAUAAUGUAUAUACCUAAUAAGAGAGCUCAAAAUAUUUGAAACAAAUCUGACAGAAUUAAAAAGAAGAAUGGAUAAAUUCACAAUUAUAGAAAAAGAUUAUACACCAGUUUCUUAAUAAUUGAUACAACCACUGGAGAAAUAAUAAGAAAGCAAAAAUAAAGACAUAGAUCCAAAUAACACUUUGUACUAAUCGAUAUUUCUAGAAAACGGCAGUCAACAUUGUUUUCCCGUGUUCAUGUAUAUUCACCAUGGUAGACCCUUUACUGUAUAUAAACCUAAUGUUGAUAAGUUUAAAAAGAUUAACAAUUUAUAGUGUAUUAUCCAGUUACAAUGAAACCUAAUUAAAAAUUAGUGAUUGUAAUCUAGGAAAGCGAAGCUCUUUUAAAUCAUCCAUUACUCAAAGAGGAAAUCUCUAAAAUGUAAAUUCUGUGAAAAGGGAGUUUAGUUUUAUACACUGUUUUGUUCCCAGCAUCUAGACGAGUGACUGGCAAUUAGUAAAUGGUUAACAACUAUUAUUAUAAGAAAUGCCCCAGGGGACAGAGAAAGAAAUGAUAAGGAAAUAUGCAACGAUUUUUCAUGAGAAAUAAAUGAUGAACAGGUUUUUCAUGAAAGAUGUAACAGAGGCCCAGCAUGGGGCGGGAUGGCAAUACACAUUGGUCUGUCUCCUAGGAAACACACAGAUUAAUGGCUAAAAACACAUGCCUACAAAAGACAAUACUUAGAGUUUACAAUCAAGACUCUAUUACGAACUCUAUAAACUAGAGCAAUAUUCUAAAAUUAUUGAUUCUUUAGUUUCCUAAUAGAAAAAACUUAAGAAAUAAUGAAGCAAAGUUUUUUUGUUGUUGUUUUUUGGUCAAGCUUAAUUGAAGUGAUUUGUGUUAACGUGCUCAGUACAGUAAAUGGUUCGAAACAAAGAAAUCAAUGAAUAAUACUAUUAUCACAAUUAUAUGCCGUUAAUGCCAGAAAGACUAAGCAUCUGAUUCCUAACAUCAAGGUUUGUAAGAGUGUGUGAACUUUGUAACCUCACUUAAUCUCUUAGAUAUAUAUUUCCUUUAAGGAAAACAUGGGAGAAAAGAGCAUUUGUGUGCUAUGGAGCAAUUUAGAACACAUUUCUUGGGGGAAAAUGGCUAAUAUAAUAUUAAUAUUAGUAUUAUUGUGAUUAAAUGGAUUAGGAGGUUCUACAAAGAAAAGUAGGUUAAUUUAGAGAAUAAAUGUAAACUACAAAUACAAUAACUCAUUUUAUCAAACUAUUUUGGUGUUAUGGAUUUUUACACAGUGAACAAAACACACUUGAUUUUCUUUAGGAAAUGAUAUACUAUUAAGAAAUGAGUAUAUAGAGGCUUAGCUCUAUUUUUGAAAUGACUCUCUAAGGUCUUACAAAUUGAAAAAGCAAAACUCAAGACAAAAAAAAAAUUAAUUUGCAAAAGUCAGUAUUAUCUACAGGAAUUAACAAAGAAAAAGACUCAAAUCUCUGAAUAUUUAAUGUGUGGGUUUAUGAGUUUUUUUUUUUUUUUGCUUUGUUUUGCUUUUUUGAGAUGGAGUCUCACUCUGUCACCCAGGCUGGAGUGCAGUGGCGUGAUCUUGGCUCACUGCAACCUCUGCCUCCCAGGUUCAAGUGAUUCUCCUGCCUCAGCCUCCUGAGUAGCUGGGACUAUAGGUGCCCACUACCAUGCACGGCUAAUUUUUGUACAUUUAGUAGAGACGGUCUCACCAUAUUGGCCAGGCUGGUCUUGCACUACUGACCUUGUGGUCCACCCACCUUGGCCUCCCAAAGUGCUGGGAUUACAGUUGUGAGCCACCGUGCCCGGCCAAGUUUAAUAUGUUGUUCGAUUUGUUACUUUCCUUUGUCUCCGCUUCCCCUCUCUGAAUUAAAAUCAAUGCCUUGAUUUGUCAAACAAAUAUGUAGUGAGUACCCACUAUGUAUAAAUCUUUGCAUCAUUUGCCACAAAAAAAGGCUGAUAUCAAUUAUAUAAAGCAUUAGAAUGUACUAGAAACAAUAAGGAAAAAAGUGACAGAUAAAUACAACAGAAAUAUAUCUAAUAUUGCUUUAAAGUUAUAAUUUGUAAUUUUAAUUCAACCUGUAGCAGUCUGGUUAGUUUUAAGUAUUUAUUGAAAUUCUAUGGACUGUAUUUGUAAACUGAGAAUUAAAACAAAUA